rnacentral:lncRNA from 1 species
UAUACUACGUACAUAUAUAAAUAUAUGUAGAUCGACCAAUUCCAUUUUUAGUUAAUUUGAUUUUGUUAUUUCUUCAUUAAUUCUGUGUUGAUUUAUUUAAGUUAGAAAAUAAUGCUUAUAGGUGUUGAGGAGGUAAAGGCCAGUCAGAUGAUCAGCAGUCAUGCAGGUUCAUUCACAGAAACAAAAGAAGAAAAUGAUCUCUAUAACGUACGUAUAUAUGUGAGAUCGAAUUUCAUUGAUUUAAUUUCAACUCAUAUAUAUUAUUUUAUUUAUUUUGGGUGGUUUUAGUUAAUUAAAUUAAUUUGUUUAUGAACUAACUAACUAACAUUCAUGCAGCUGAUGGGUUUCGAGGAAGUUUGCGAAGAGGUUGAUGAGGAGUGUCUGAAGAGAAGGAUGAUUGCGGAGGCACACCUGGAUUAUAUUUACACCCAACAUCGUCACAAGGACAACAAUUAAUUACUCUUAUAUAUCGAUCAAGUCAAAGUUAAUUCCAAUCAAGUCUCAAACCUAGCUACCUAAAUUUGUACUCAGUCAUGAGACCACUUUCUUUUAAUACUAUUUAUUUUUAAAAAAAUAUUUAAAACGAUAUAUCUUUAAUAAAUGUAUGCUAUUUAAG